UAGCCAUGAUGUGGGCAAUAAUUUAAUAAAUCUUUAAAACGUUCCCAACAUUGAUAAAAAGUUUCAUUUUCUUUUUGAGAAAAAUUCAUAAUUUGCCUUUUUAAAGCA